CUUGAACGCUGGCGGCAGGCCUAACACAUGCACGUCGAACGAGUGGCGGACGGGUGAGUAAUGUCUGGGAAACUGCCUGAUGGAGGGGGAUAACUACUGGAAACGGUAGCUAAUACCGCAUACCAUCAGAUGUGCCCAGAUGGGAUUAGCUUGUUGGUGGUGUAACGGCUCACAAAGGCGACGAUCCCUAGCUGGUCUGAGAGGAGGACCAGCCACACAGGAACUGAGACACGGUCAAGACUCCUAAGGGAGUAAGCAGUGGGGAAUAUUGCACAAUGGGCGCAAGCCUGAUGCAGCCAUGCCGCGUGUAUGAAGAAGGCCUUCGGGUUGUAAAGUAAGUUCAGCGGGGAGGAGUUAACCGCAGAUGAAGACCCGGCUAACUCCGUGCCAGCAGCCGCGGUAAUUC
rnacentral:rRNA from 1 species